rnacentral:rRNA from 1 species
GAUGAACGCUGGCGGCAUGCCUAAUACAUGCAAGUCGAACGAAUCACUUCGGUGGUUAGUGGCGAACGGGUGAGUAACACGUAGGUAAUCUACCCUUUAGACGAGGAUAACGGUUGGAAACGACCGCUAAUACUGGAUAGUAUAUAGAGUCGCAUGACUUUAUAUUUAAAGUUCCGUGUGGAACACUAGAGGAGGAGCCUGCGGCGCAUUAGUUAGUUGGCGGGGUAAAGGCCCACCAAGACGAUGAUGCGUAGCCGGACUGAGAGGUUGAACGGCCACAUUGGGACUGAGACACGGCCCAG